CGCGCCGGGCCGUACCCAUAUCGGUGGAUGCCUUGGCACUAGGAGCCGAUGAAGGACGGGACGAACACCGAUAUGCUUCGGGGAGCUGUAAGCAAGCUUUGAUCCGGAGAUUUCCGAAUGGGGAAACCCACCACUCGUAAUGGAGUGGUAUCCAUAUCUGAAUUCAUAGGAUAUGAGAAGGCAGACCC
rnacentral:rRNA from 1 species